rnacentral:rRNA from 1 species
UGCAGUCGAGCGGUAACAGGGGUAGCUUGCUACCCGCUGACGAGCGGCGGACGGGUGAGUAAUGCAUAGGAAUCUGCCCGGUAGUGGGGGAUAACCUGGGGAAACCCAGGCUAAUACCGCAUACGUCCUACGGGAGAAAGGGGGCUUCGGCUCCCGCUAUUGGAUGAGCCUAUGUCGGAUUAGCUAGUUGGUGAGGUAAAGGCUCACCAAGGCAACGAUCCGUAGCUGGUCUGAGAGGAUGAUCAGCCACAUCGGGACUGAGACACGGCCCGAACUCCUACGGGAGGCAGCAGUGGGGAAUAUUGGACAAUGGGGGCAACCCUGAUCCAGCCAUGCCGCGUGUGUGAAGAAGGCCCUCGGGUUGUAAAGCACUUUCAGCGAGGAAGAACGCCUGUCGGUUAAUACCCGGUAGGAAAGACAUCACUCGCAGAAGAAGCACCGGCUAACUCCGUGCCAGCAGCCGCGGUAAUACGGAGGGUGCAAGCGUUAAUCGGAAUUACUGGGCGUAAAGCGCGCGUAGGUGGCUUGAUAAGCCGGUUGUGAAAGCCCCGGGCUCAACCUGGGAACGGCAUCCGGAACUGUCAGGCUAGAGUGCAGGAGAGGAAGGUAGAAUUCCCGGUGUAGCGGUGAAAUGCGUAGAGAUCGGGAGGAAUACCAGUGGCGAAGGCGGCCUUCUGGACUGACACUGACACUGAGGUGCGAAAGCGUGGGUAGCAAACAGGAUUAGAUACCCUGGUAGUCCACGCCGUAAACGAUGUCGACCAGCCGUUGGGUGCCUAGCGCACUUUGUGGCGCUGUCAGGCUAGAGUGCAGGAGAGGAAGGUAGAAUUCCCGGUGUAGCGGUGAAAUGCGUAGAGAUCGGGAGGAAUACCAGUGGCGAAGGCGGCCUUCUGGACUGACACUGACACUGAGGUGCGAAAGCGUGGGUAGCAAACAGGAUUAGAUACCCUGGUAGUCCACGCCGUAAACGAUGUCGACCAGCCGUUGGGUGCCUAGCGCACUUUGUGGCGAAGUUAACGCGAUAAGUCGACCGCCUGGGGAGUACGGCCGCAAGGUUAAAACUCAAAUGAAUUGACGGGGGCCCGCACAAGCGGUGGAGCAUGUGGUUUAAUUCGAUGCAACGCGAAGAACCUUACCUACCCUUGACAUCUACAGAAGCCGGAAGAGAUUCUGGUGUGCCUUCGGGAACUGUAAGACAGGUGCUGCAUGGCUGUCGUCAGCUCGUGUUGUGAAAUGUUGGGUUAAGUCCCGUAACGAGCGCAACCCUUGUCCUUAUUUGCCAGCACGUAAUGGUGGGAACUCUAAGGAGACUGCCGGUGACAAACCGGAGGAAGGUGGGGACGACGUCAAGUCAUCAUGGCCCUUACGGGUAGGGCUACACACGUGCUACAAUGGCCGGUACAAAGGGCUGCGAGCUCGCGAGAGUCAGCGAAUCCCUUAAA